AACGAACGCUGGCGGCGCGCCUAAUACAUGCAAGUCGAGCGAGAAGACGUAGCAAUACGUUUGUAAAGCGGCGAACGGGUGAGGAAUACAUGGGUAACCUACCCUCGAGUGGGGAAUAACUAGCCGAAAGGUUAGCUAAUACCGCGUACGCUCCUUGGACUUCGGUUCAGGGAGGAAAGCGAUACCGUGGGUAUCGCGCUCUUGGAUGGGCUCAUGUCCUAUCAGCUUGUUGGUGAGGAACGGCUCACCAAGGCUUCGACGGGUAGCUGGUCUGAGAGGACGAUCAGCCACACUGGCACUGCGACACGGGCCAGACUCCUACGGGAGGCAGCAGUAAGGAAUAUUGCGCAAUGGGCGAAAGCCUGACGCAGCGACGCCGCGUGGGGGAUGAAGG
rnacentral:rRNA from 1 species